GACGAACGCUGGCGGCGUGCCUAAUACAUGCAAGUAGGACGCAGUUGCGAACGGGUGAGUAACGCGUAGGUAACUACCUAUUAGAGGGGGAUAACUAUUGGAAACGAUAGCUAAUACCGCAUACUAGUAGAUGGACCUGCGUUGUAUUAGCUAGUAGGUAGGGUAAUGGCCUACCUAGGCAACGAUACAUAGCCGACCUGUGGGGGUGUGCGGCCACAAUGGGACCGGGACACGGCCCGGACCCCCACGGGGGGGAGCAGUAGGGAAUCUUCGGAAAGGGGGGGAACCCUGACCGAGCAACGCCGGGGGAGUGAAGAAGGUGCUCGGAUCGGAAAGCUCUUUUGUGAGGGAAGCGGUACUUAAACAAAAAGGAACGGCUAACUCCGUGCCAGCAGCCGCGGUAAUAC
rnacentral:rRNA from 1 species